AAAAAGGAAACACUGCUUUUCUGAGCCCUUUAAAGAAGUCGUUUGCUUUUAUAAGCAAAGCAUUCAAACAUACUGUAACUCAGCACGGGGUCCCAGGAGUUAGUUUCUGUAGUACAGAACUUGGGGAAUGUUGAGAGAAUUGAGAAUUUUUCUUCUCCUAGGAUGAGAGCUUCUAACUGGGCGUGAGAGGAAGUGCAAGCUUGGCUGCUGUUACCCUGUGGAGAUGAUUCCUCUGCCUGGCUGAGUGAGAAGGGCAGGAGGAAAGCACGUGGUUUCAGCACAGACCCAAUGUGGAUCCAAAGAGAGCCACACAAGAGGAGGGAUGGUAUGAUUCUUUUCAAUAGAUCAAAUGGCUCUGUUUUUGCUGAUUUUUAAAGGAUUGCUGCAAUGAACAGUGAAUCCCUAUAUCCAGAUGUGUGCAAACACAGAUCAUUCCUGGGCUGACCACGGCAUUGGCAGAAAAGCCCACAGGACUGACUGCAGUAUGGGCAUCUCCGGUUUCUGCGGAGAUACCACAUGACUGGAUUGUCUUCUAGCUCUGAGUCAUGCUGCCCAAAGUAGUAGUUCAGCACGCCUUUCUUAUCAAAGCAGCAUGUGCCACACAUUUUCAGGUGAGUUGCUGCUGCACCUUAUGCUACCACGAUUUCCUAUUUUAAGCAAGAAACCACUGUCUUUGGAGUUCCUAGA